GUGUGUGUGUGUGUGUGUGUUGGGGAUUGUGGGAGGGGAUUAAGAUUGGCAAAUAACUGACUUUUUGGAACAAUUAUUGCUGGUAUGCUGCAUGGUGACAGUCGGUCAAAGAGAUCAUAUUUUGUAAUAAUUCUGAGACAAGAAAGAUUAGAUAUUAGACAAGCGCAAAGACAAGGACAGUAACUGUUGCAUAAAAUAACAGCAGCAGAGUCCAACCAUCCCCAGUCAGUAAAGGCAGUAGACAAAUAACAAAGAGAGUUCCUAAAAUCAUUUUCCAAUCGUUUUGUUCUGAACAGACACACCAUUUUUUUUGUUACGUUUUAUUGUUCUUACCAGCAAAAUAAAGUUCGGAACCAGUUCGAACUACCAAAAAAGUACAGGUUUAUAUUGUUCCUUUUUCCUUUUUCAACCUGUGAAAUCAACAGUUUUUUCCAUUUAGCUCAUUAAAUGACUUCACCAAUCAGUGUGGAUAGAGCAGCUUGCUAGGGAGCAGGCAAGCUAGGUGUUUGAGAGAUUAAAAAAAACAGUUGCAUUGGACCAUCAAUAUGGGCUGAAGUCACCCACAGCAGAUCUCAAUGGAAAAGGUGCAUAAAGAUGGAGGAACUAAGAUCUCUGGCAGAAAUACUGGCAACAGCUUGGAUCCUAUAGUCAGAGAGACUGCAAUGUGUGUCGGUGUUGAGUUGCCACACAGUGUGGGAACGUGAGUGAUCGAUAGUCCCUCUACUAGAGAGAGAAACCUGAUCCUUCAGAUCGUCACAGGAGAGUUAUGACAACAGCUCCCAGCUUUGAUGCACCUGUACUGACCUCGCCUUCUGGAUGAUAGCGGGGUGAACAGGCACUGGUGAACAGGCACUGCCGGCUCAGGUGGUUGUUGUCCCUGAUUAUCUUUU